UACUCCCUCGUUUUCAUGCCAGUAUAACGUUUUGUACUGUAGGUCUGCUCCUAAGAAAAUUAGAAUCAGGCAUUUGAGGAAUCAGUCAUGUAACUGUAGGUGAAAUACAUGAAAGAGACAUUAAUACUGACUUCCUUUUGAUAGUACUGCGUGAUGUGUUUCAGGCUUAUCCUGAAGUUCACAUUGUUCUUAUGUCUGCUACUAUUGAUACCAACAUGUUCUGUGAAUAUUUCUUCAAUUGCCCCAUCAUUGAAGUUUAUGGGAGGACUUAACCAAUUGAAGAUGAAGUCUAGCUCUGUUGCCCAGGCUGGAGUGCAGUGGUGCAGUCUCAGCUCACUGCAAUCUCGUCCUCCCAGGUUCAUGUGAUUUUCCUGCCUCAGCCUCCUGAGCAGCUAGGAUUACAGACACACACCACCACACCCAGCUAGUUUUUGUAUUUUUAGUAGAGAUGGGCUUUCACCAUGUUGGUCACGGUGGUCUUGAGCUGCUGACCUUGUGAUCUGCCCAUAUCAGCCUCCCAAAGUGCUGGGAUUACAGGCGUUUACCACCGCGCCUGGCCUUGGGAGCUCAGUUUCUUACUACUAGAAAGAGAAGUUAAACCUAAGUGGGAUUGCCAGAACAAAGCAUAGGGUACCGGAUUAUACUCAAAGAGAUCAGCAUGAACUUGUGUUCAGCUAAAUGGAGAUACAAAUGGAAUAUUUUCUGGAAGACUGCAUUCGGAUGACCCACUUUGUUCCUCCACCAAAAGACAAGAAGAAGAAGGAUAAGGAUGAUGAUGGUGGUGAGGAUGAUUAUGAAAAUUGCAACUUGAUCUGUGGUGAUGAAUAUGGUCCAGAAACAAGGUUGAGCAGGUCUCAAUUGAACGAAAAGGAAACUCCCUUUUAAUUCAUCAAAGCUCUACUUAAGUACAUUGAAACUCUUAACGUUUCCGGAGCUGUUGUUUUGUUUUGUUUUGUUUUGUUUUGUUUUUUUGCCUGUCUGGAAUUUGAUUUAUACUGUGAAGAAGCAUUUGGAAAUGAAUCCACAUUUUGGUAUGAGUCUUUAAAUUCUCACAUAUUUGAGAGUGAAAAUGAAUGUUUUUGCUAGUGCCUUAGCCAGUAUGUGAAAACAAAAUUUUGUGUUGUCAAUACUUUCGAAGAAAAAAAAUAUGUACAACGGAGAGCUGUUUGAAACCAGUUCCUAUUUUUAGUCCCUGAUUGUUCUGUACUGUUAUAUAUGGGAAGCCAUCAGUACCAGAUUCUACUUCUGCAUUCUCAGAUUCCUCCAGAGCAACAGCGCAAAGUGU
rnacentral:lncRNA from 1 species